rnacentral:rRNA from 1 species
AGAAUCAACGCUGGCGGCGUGCCUAACACAUGCAAGUCGAACGAGAAAGUGGGAGCAAUCCCACGAGUAAAGUGGCGCACGGGUGAGUAACACGUGACUAACCUACCCUUGAGUGGGGGGAUAACCUAGGGAAACCUGGGCUAAUACCGCAUAAUACCUACGGGUCAAAGGAGCAAUUCGCUUUAGGAGGGGGUCGCGGCAGAUUAGUUAGUUGGCGGGGUAAUGGCCCACCAAGACAGUGAUCUGUAUCCGGCCUGAGAGGGCGCACGGACACACUGGAACUGAAACACGGUCCAGACUCCUACGGGAGGCAGCAGUGGGGAAUUUUGCGCAAUGGGGGAAACCCUGACGCAGCAACGCCGCGUGGAGGAUGAAGCCCCUUGGGGCGUAAACUCCUUUCGAUCGGGAAGAUAAUGACGGUACCGGAAGAAGAAGCCCCGGCUAACUUCGUGCCAGCAGCCGC